UCAUUUAGGCUUCACACUUUUCCUGAGGCCUCUGGGCUCCUGUCCAGGCCACAAUACUUCACAAUUGACUUUGAUUUUCUGAGAGCAAAGUGUUGACUGUUGGGAAAUCUGCCUCCUGACAAAGUUUAUGGACCCGAAUCAUUGAUGAGCUGUGGCUGCACACGGGUGGAAAGGAGCCUACUGUCCAAAGAAUGCAUGAGGUAAGGUUACCCAUACUGGUAGUUCUGGCUUUCCUACGACUUGGUAUUUUCUAUUAUUUCACAUGGUGUCUACUCAUCUCACAAUUAUGAUGCAUAGUCACAUUUCUGUAAUGGUUCUCCAUUUUGUACCACAUAAAAAACUUUACUAAUUCCAGUACAAUUAGAUGUAUUUUUAUAUUUUAGGAACUUAGUGUAAUUAUCAAAGAAGGACAUAAGACUAGUCUGUUGCCAUCCCAUUUCAAUUAAUAUUGUUAACUAACCUUUCUUUAAAAAUUCAUGCAUGAGUAGACUUAGAGGUCUGUACAUACUCCAAAGCUUCACCACCAUCUUAAAUACAGACACUAUGUUUGUUAUUCUCCAAUCAUUUGCAGCCAUUCACAGGUGUAUUACAAACCCUUGAAAAUCAACUUGCAGCUUUAUUUCUUUCAAUGUUCUCCUGUGAAGCACAUCUAGUUCUCCCAGUCUAAGCAUAUCCAGCUUUUCCAAUCUUAUUUCCAUUUUGGUUAAGGUGGUUUCCAUUUCUAUACUGUUAUUCUCUGUUUAUUUUGCCUUUACCUCCAUAUUAUGCUACUUCCUUCUAAUUGUUAUCAGUUCUAACUUCAUAAAUCCUGCUCUAAAUAGGAUAUAUUACAUUACAUUAUUGUAGGAAUAUUUGAUACACAUCCAUAAAUUACAUUCUGCAAGACAUUAUGAAAAAAAAAACAAUUGCAAGCUAACAGGAAACAGCUUUACUGCAAACAAUGAGAAAACACCACAAAAUCUUUUGUCUUCUUGAUUGUCACCUGCCAACAGAGCAAGCUCCUCUUUGUGAUUCAGAGAAGAGAAGCUUAGACUGCCAAUAUCACAAAGAACAACACUGUCCAGCAAAUGUGUCAUAACCACAGCAGUUCUCUGGUUGUUUUGUGUACGUAUCUCAAUGUCUCAGGGAUUUUCUUACACCUACAGCCAUCACAUCACAUAACUGUGCUCAAGUCAGCACAUUCUGGGACAUUCUAAGUGCCAUGUAUAAUGUUUCAGCUGCUAAGAAUACAGAAAAGUGUUUCUUUGUUUGUUUGUUUUUUACUUGAGGACAGCAUAGCAUCAUGUAUACAAAGAUGAAUCCUGUUACAACUUUGUUUUUGUUAGCUUAGUUAAAAUAAGAGUAUAUUCAAACAUUUAAACACUUAAUGUGAAAUAAAACAUAUUAAUUCUGUGUUGUACAUACAUGUAGGAUCUUAUGCCAUUCCCAAAUUAUUAUGUUAUUUACAAAGAUCCUACUUUCUCCAGUUGUGCUGAAAAUCCAGAAUGUUCCAAAUGUCAACCAAAACCACUUUCACAACACUUUUCCCAUAUAUACUAUUUUUACAUACUAUUUUUAUAUUUUUAAUAUACACUUUUUUUUUUGCAAUAGACAAAGUUAGCAGAUUCAGCUAUAUUAUACUUAAUUAGAAAGCUGAUGAAAUUUGCACAGAAUGAUUCCUCAAGAUUAUAAGUAAAUUGGACAAAGUAUAUCAAAUAAAGAAAUACCAGGUCACACUAAUAUAUUAGAGUAACUAUGACUAAGAAAAGUACAAAUAUAUGACUGCAAAAGACAUGAAAGCUAAAAUAUAACUCACUUCACAAAAGGAAAGAUUCACCUCAUCCAUUUUGAGAAUCUUCUUAACAAAUAAGUCUCUUCUUAACUGAGAAGCUAGUUCAUUAGAUGAAAAUCUAGGCACUGAACUCCAGAUAAAAAGAGCAAAACUUAUAGGAAUUUGGUAAGUCUAUGCUAUUUUUAAACCAUUAAGCUUUGAAGUUUGAAGUCAAAGAUGGAAAAUCCUCUUCUUCAGAAAGGUAGAGCAUGAACAUGAAAAAACAAUAGUAAGCACCAUAGCAGAAAGCAAGUGUGCUGUCAUCAAUCUGUCUAAGAAGACUUGUAAGAUUUACCAUGAAUCAACACUGAAUGCCAAACCUUAAUGCAGUGUGUCAAGAAUCUGUAGUAACCCCUGUGCAAAACUAAAAAUCCAGUGAACAAACUGACUAGAAAAGUAUUUAGCCCCUGUCAGUAAUGACAACUAGUGCCCUGGUGGUAAAAACAGAAAUAAAAACAUCUUACAUGGGAAAAGAGAAAUCUUACUAAAAUGUAUAUUUUGAGAGUUUGCUGUGAUUGUUUAAAGCAGUCAGGCUAUUCAGCUGGGAGAUGGUGGGUGUCAUGUUGAAAACAAAUUACAGUAGUUUUCCACCGUGACAGAAUCUCUGGACUUUCUGCAAAGAUGCAGGUUUUGUUAUUUCAGGGGGUGCUGAACUGAAUUCCCAUAAACUAGAGUAGAAUAAGCAAGAUCUGGUCUAAGUCACAGUUUCAGAAUAGGCUCUACUUGGAACAGAACACAGGGAUAAGAGGGCCUAGUUCUCAGACCGGUAAAAGGCUAUUCCAGUUGACAGAGAUUAUGUUAACAGCUUCUGUGCUGGAAGUUUGGCAAAAAGGCUUUAGGGAAACUGUCUCUUUUUUUCAUUCAUAUUUCAUACGUAUUAUAUGUAUACACAGAGAACACUGCAUGUAUUAGACUGUGAUUUUCUGUCACAAUCAUGGUCAUCACACUAUAUAUGUAAGUAGUCAUGACAUAAAAGGGGCAUUUCAAAUCUUAUUUAAUAGUAUCCAUUCUUAUAUUUCUGGCAAGAAGAUCUGAAGAACACUACCUUACCAUGUUAAGCACUACCUUAGGACCUCACAGUGUUCUUUCUCAUAAAGCAGAUACCACUUCCAGUGCAAAUACAUGUGCUUACAACUUCAAUGUUAGCUGUCAGUAGGUACUCAAGCAUGAAAAGUUAACAUUUGCUUUCUAUCAGGAUUCACGUGACUAGUGCUCAGUGGCUUGAGUGCUGGAGAAAAGUGAGUACAGAAGGUCCUUGACACCAGAGUAAUAAAGAUUUUCAAGUUCAAAUAAAACUUUACAGAUGUUUUGGCAUUCUCCCAAUACAAUUUAAAGAAAAUAACAACAAAAUCAAGAAAGUAAGCAGGUAGUUAACUAAUUAUAAAUGUUUUACAGUUGCACCUCAGUGCAAAGCUUACUCCUCUGCUGGUUGACUGAAAGCCAGAACUAGCUAAUGCUGCAUUCUGUGAUACUGAAGACAUUGCUCAGUAGCAAUUCACCUAUAAAAUCCAGGAUUCAAGGCUUGUUCAAUACUUGUUUACAAGAGAAGAUAUGCAGAAUUUUAGAAGCUUAUAAAAAUAACUGGGUGAUCCAACACAGAUCCAACACGGAUUCAAGUUUCCUUCCACCAGCUUUAACAAACGCAACCCAUGUCAGAUCUCAUCUAAAAUUUAACCCACAGAAACCUGAAAUAAAUCCCUAAGUAUUUUUCUAAAAAAAAAAAAAAAAAAAAAAAAAAAAUGAAACAACGGACAGCGAGAUUCAUAGCCUUGAUAAUUUCUUUCUUGAUGCUUAAUAGAAAAACAACCUGAUCAUGUUAAAAAAAAAAA